rnacentral:tRNA from 2 species
GCGCCAGUAGCUCAGAUGGAUAGAGCAUCUGACUUCGAAUCAGAGGGCCGGGAGUUCGAGUCUCUCCUGGCGCACCA